rnacentral:rRNA from 1 species
UACGGGGGGGGCAAGCGUUGUUCGGAAUUACUGGGCGUAAAGGGCUCGUAGGCGGCCAACUAAGUCAGACGUGAAAUCCCCCGGCUUAACCAGGGAACUGCGUCUGAUACUGGAUGGCUUGAGAUUGGGAGAGGGAUGCGGAAUUCCAGGUGUAGCGGUGAAAUGCGUAGAUAUCUGGAGGAACACCGGUGGCGAAGGCGGCAUCCUGGACCGACACUGACGCUGAGGAGCGAAAGCCAGGGGAGCAAACGGG